rnacentral:rRNA from 1 species
GAUGAACGCUGGCGGCGUGCCUAAUACAUGCAAGUCGAGCGAACAGACGAGGAGCUUGCUCCUCUGACGUUAGCGGCGGACGGGUGAGUAACACGUGGAUAACCUACCUAUAAGACUGGGAUAACUUCGGGAAACCGGAGCUAAUACCGGAUAAUAUAUUGAACCGCAUGGUUCAAUAGUGAAAGACGGUUUUGCUGUCACUUAUAGAUGGAUCCGCGCCGCAUUAGCUAGUUGGUAAGGUAACGGCUUACCAAGGCAACGAUGCGUAGCCGACCUGAGAGGGUGAUCGGCCACACUGGAACUGAGACACGGUCCAGACUCCUACGGUAGGCAGCAGUAGGGAAUCUUCCGCAAUGGGCGAAAGCCUGACGGAGCAACGCCGCGUGAGUGAUGAAGGUCUUCGGAUCGUAAAUCUCUGUUAUUAGGGAAGAACAAAUGUGUAAGUAACUAUGCACGUCUUGACGGUACCUAAUCAGAAAGCCACGGCUAACUACGUG